rnacentral:rRNA from 2 species
GUGCCCUUCAGUUCGGAAAACCCAGGGAAACUUGGGCUAAUACCGGAUACGUCCGUAAGGAGAAAGAUUUAUCGCUGAAGGAUCGGCCCGCGUCUGAUUAGCUAGUUGGUGGGGUAACGGCCCACCAAGGCGACGAUCAGUAGCUGGUCUGAGAGGAUGAUCAGCCUCACUGGGACUGAGACACGGCCCAGACUCCUACGGGAGGCAGCAGUGGGGAAUAUUGGACAAUGGGCGCAAGCCUGAUCCAGCCAUGCCGCGUGGGUGAUGAAGGCCCUAGGGUUGUAAAGCCCUUUCGGCGGGGAAGAUAACGACGGUACCCGCAGAAGAAGCCCCGGCUAACUUCGUGCCAGCAGCCGCGGUAAUACGAAGGGGGCUAGCGUUGCUCGGAAUCACUGGGCGUAAAGCGCACGUAGGCGGCUUUUUAAGUCAGGGGUGAAAUCCUGGAGCUCAACUCCAGAACUGCCCUUGAUACUGAGAAGCUUGAGUCCGGGAGAGGUGAGUGGAACUGCGAGUGUAGAGGUGAAAUUCGU